rnacentral:rRNA from 1 species
AGUGAACGCUGGCGGCAGGCCUAAUACAUGCAAGUCGAACGGCAGCACAGCAGAGCUUGCUCUGUGGGUGGCGAGUGGCGGACGGGUGAGGAAUACAUGGGAAUCUGCCCAGUCGUGGGGGAUAACGUAGGGAAACUUACGCUAAUACCGCAUGCGCCCUUCGGGGGAAAGCCGGGGACCUUCGGGCCUGGCGCGAUUGGAUGAGCCCAUGUCGGAUUAGCUAGUUGGCGGGGUAAUGGCCCACCAAGGCGACGAUCCGUAGCUGGUCUGAGAGGAUGAUCAGCCACACUGGAACUGAGACACGGUCCAGACUCCUACGGGAGCAGCAGUAGGGAAUAUUGGACAAUGGGCGCAAGCCUGAUCCAGCCAUGCCGCGUGAGUGAAGAAGGCCCUCGGGUGUAAAGCUCUUUUGUCCGGAAAGAAAGCGCCGGGUUAAUACCCCUGGUGUCCUGACGGUACCGGAAGAAUAAGCACCGCUAACUUCGUGCCA